rnacentral:rRNA from 2 species
UGGAGCAACGCCGCGUGAGUGAAGAAGGGUUUCGGCUCGUAAAACUCUGUUGUUAAAGAAGAACAUAUCUGAGAGUAACUGUUCAGGUAUUGACGGUAUUUAACCAGAAAGCCACGGCUAACUACGUGCCAGCAGCCGCGGUAAUACGUAGGUGGCAAGCGUUGUCCGGAUUUAUUGGGCGUAAAGCGAGCGCAGGCGGUUUUUUAAGUCUGAUGUGAAAGCCUUCGGCUCAACCGAAGAAGUGCAUCGGAAACUGGGAAACUUGAGUGCAAAAGAGGACAGUGGAACUCCAUGUGUAGCGGUGAAAUGCGUAGAUAUAUGGAAGAACACCAGUGGCGAAGGCGGCUGUCUGGUCUGUAACUGACGCUGAGGCUCGAAAGUAUGGGUAGCAAACAGGAUUAGAUACCCUGGUAGUCCAUACCGUAAACGAUGAAUGCUAAGUGUUGGAGGGUUUCCGCCCUUCAGUGCUGCAGCUAACGCAUUAAGCAUUCCGCCUGGGGAGUACGGCCGCAAGGCUGAAACUCAAAGGAAUUGACGGGGGCCCGCACAAGCGGUGGAGCAUGUGGUUUAAUUCGAAGCUACGCGAAGAACCUUACCAGGUCUUGACAUACUAUGCAAAUCUAAAAGAUUAGACGUUCCCUUCGGGGACAUGGAUACAGGUGGUGCAUGGUUGUCGUCAGCUCGUGUCGUGAGAUGUUGGGUUAACUCCCGCAACGAGCGCAACC